CUACGGAGGGUGCAAGCGUUAUUCGGAAUCACUGGGCGUAAAGGACGCGUAGGCGGGUUGGCAAGUCAGAUGUGAAAUCCUACAGCUUAACUGUAGAACUGCAUUUGAAACUGCUAACCUAGAGUAUGGGAGGGGGAGAUGGAAUUAGUGGUGUAGGGGUAAAAUCCGUAGAUAUCACUAGGAAUACCGAAAGCGAAGGCGAUCUCCUGGAACAUAACUGACGCUAAGGCGUGAAAGCGUGGGGAACAAACAGGAUUAGAAACCCUAGUAGUCC
rnacentral:rRNA from 1 species